UACGUAGGGAGCAAGCGUUGUCCGGAUUUACUGGGUGUAAAGGGUGCGUAGGCGGCUUUGCAAGUCAGAUGUGAAAUCUAUGGGCUCAACCCAUAGCCUGCAUUUGAAACUGUAGAGCUUGAGUGAAGUAGAGGCAGGCGGAAUUCCCCGUGUAGCGGUGAAAUGCGUAGAGAUGGGGAGGAACACCAGUGGCGAAGGCGGCCUGCUGGGCUUUAACUGACGCUGAGGCACGAAAGCGUGGGUAGCAAACAGG
rnacentral:rRNA from 1 species